GUCCCGUCUGUGCCCAUCCUUGUCUCGAUCUCGGUCCUUCUUAUUCCGAUCCCGCUCCUUAUCUCGUUCUCGUUCUUUGUGCCGUCGUUCUCUUUCUGCAGAUUUGGAACGGGAACGAGAGCGAGAACGGCUGCCUCCUCGACGUCUAUCCCUUGAACGAUGCCGCUUUCUAUCUUUAGAUGGGGAAGACUUCCGGUCCCGGUCUCUAUCCCGCUCUCUGUCAGGAGUCCG
rnacentral:lncRNA from 1 species